GACGAACGCUGGCGGCGUGCUUAACACAUGCAAGUCGAACGGAGUGGCGAACGGGUGAGUAACACGUGGGUGACCUGCCCUGCACUUCGGGAUAAGCCUGGGAAACUGGGUCUAAUACCGGAUAGUGUGGGAUGGGCCCGCGGCCUAUCAGCUUGUUGGUGGGGUAAUGGACUACCAAGGCGGCGACGGGUAGCCGGCCUGAGAGGGGGGACGGCCACAUGGGGACUGAGACACGGUGCAGACGCUUACAGGAGGCAGCAGUGGGGAGUCUUGCACAAUGGGCGGAAGCCUGAUGCAGGGGCGCUGCGGGGGGGAUGUAGGCCUUCGGGUUGUAAACCGCUUUCAGCCAUGACGCGGUAGUGGCAGAAGAAGCACCGGCGAACUACGUGCCAGCAGCCGCGGUAAUUC
rnacentral:rRNA from 1 species